AUUUAAAAUCUGGCAGUCUUUGAUUGUCCGAGUUGUAAAUUGGAGAAGUGUUAUCCGCGCUGGCCUGUGCAUAAGUCUCUUGGAAAAGAGCAUCAUAGAGGGUGACAAUCCCGUCUUUGGCAUAGACUACCAGGGCUUUUGUGAUGCGCUCUCAACGAGUCGAGUUGUUUGGGAAUGCAGCUCUAAAUGGGUGGUAAAUUCCAUCUAAAGCUAAAUAUUGGCGAGAGACCGAUAGCGCACAAGUACCGUGAGGGAAAGAUGAAAAGAACUUUGGAAAGAGAGUUAAACAGUACGUGAAAUUGUUGAAAGGGAAACGCUUGAAGUCAGUCAUGUCCCAUUGAAAUCAACCUGACACUCGUGUCUGGUGUACUUUCUAUGGGACAGGUCAGCAUCAGUUCUGACUGCUGGAAAAAGGCCUUGGGAAUGUGACAUCUUUCUCAAGAUGUGUUAUAGCCCUUGGACCACAUACAGUGGUUGGGACUGAGGAACUCGGUGUGUGAUUUAGCUCCUUAGGGAGCCACGCAUUCAAGGAUGCUGGCGUAAUGGCUUUAAUCGACCCGUCUUGAAACACGGACCAAGGAGUCUAACGUGCAUGCGAGUGUUUGGGUGGAAAACUCAAGCGCGCAAUGAAAGUGAAAGCUGAGAACCCUGUCAAAGGGGUGCAUCGACGCCCGGUCUUGAACUUUUAGUGACAGAUCUGCGGUAGAGCAUGUAUGUUGGGACCCGAAAGAUGGUGAACUAUGCCUGAAUAGGGUGAAGCCAGAGGAAACUCUGGUGNAGGCUCGUAGCGAUUCUGACGUGCAAAUCGAUCGUCGAAUUUGGGUAU
rnacentral:rRNA from 1 species